AUGUCCGAUGUAGUGAAGUUGAGAUUUUACUAUGGUCCUGGUACUGUCCAAACAAAUGAGUUGGGAGCAGAUCUGAGUGAAUUUACUCACAUAGAGGUGGCAAUCAGCGCACCACAAACACGGUCUGUUAGUCAGUUGAAAGAAUGGACUGCGGCAAGUUUAGGUCUUGAUACUGAAACACACACCGUCGGUGUUCAUGCAUUGUGGACACGGUCAAGUUCAAAAAUUUACUUUUAUUUGAGGCCAAUAGAGGGAGACUCUGAUUGGGUGCGGUGGUUACAAGGUUGUGAACGAAGGGGAUGCAAUCCUGAUGCUUUAGUGCUUCCCGUCGUGAAGGAGGUCACUGCACAUGAAGGGGAGGGUGGCUACGAAGGACAGAGCAGUCAUGUAGAAGGAGGAAAUGCUUAUGGUUACGAACAAGGACAGAGCAGUCAGGUAGAAGGAGGAAAUGCUUAUGGUUAUGAACCAGGGCAGAGUAGUCAGGUAGAAGGAGGAAAUGCCGAUGGUGAUUACAAUGGCGAGGUGGACGCUGACGAGGUAGAUGGGCACAUGCAGAACCAGAUGGAAGAAGAAGACACCGAUGUUGAAAGGGGUCAUGCCGAUGAUUCUGACGAGUCAGAUGAAGAAGAAAAUGCAGAGGAGGUCCCGAAUCCUGCAUGGUGGAAUCAUGACUUAUCAUCUGCAAUGACCGUGAAUGAUGGACAUGAUUCAGCCUGGCAAUAUCACCAGAACAAUAUUGCGACGGGUGCUAUGUAUCCGAACAAGCAAGCCCUGAAGGAUGCAAUAAUUAAUUGGGCAAUGUCCACACAAAGGGUUUUCAAAGCUGAGGUGUCCAGUCAGAAAUUCCUGACAAUGGUAUGCAAGAACGCAGAUUGUCCUGCAAGGGUGCACGGCUUUCUCCCUAAGUAUGGCACAAGUUGGGUGAUAAGUGACUUAGUUAAUCACACUUGUCUUAUUCCCUGCAUCCCUCAAGAUCAUGCCAACCUUUCAUACACGCUUAUUGCUCGACUGUUUUACGAUGAGAUAGUGCAAGGCAAAGCUAUGGAAGUGAAGGCAGUGCAGACAAAAGUGUUCGCCAGGUUGAAGUACAGAAUUUCUUAUGGCAAGGCUUGGAGGGCUAAGCAUGCAGCGCUUGAGAGGAGAUUUGGUUCUUAUUUUGAUGCAUAUGACUCUGUUGUCCACCUCCUCCACACCCUGCAGCAGUGGAAUCCAGGCACCUAUAUCGAUAUCCAAGACAUGUUCAUGCCAGAGUUCCCAACUGUGAGGGUUUUGCAUCGUCUCUUCUUCUCUUUCGGUGUAUGCAUCGAAGCUUUCAGGCAUUGCCGACCGGUGAUAUGUGUUGACGGUACUUUUCUCACAGGCAAGUACAAGGGUCAGAUCCUGACAGCCAUAGGUCAAGACGGCCAAAAUCAAGUCGUCCCACUGGCAUUUGCUUUUGUGGAGAGUGAGAACAUUGAAAGUUGGACAUGGUUCUUCAGGCAGUUGAAAAUAUCAGUUGUGAAGGAGAAGCCCAAUGUGUGCAUCCUUCAUGACAGGCAUGCAGGUAUACUCAGUGCGAUAAGGACACUGACAAACCCAGGCCCUGAGGAACAAGUUCCAUGGCAGGACUUGCAGAGCCAUUGGUGCAUGCGCCAUCUCGGGGCUAAUUUCUUCUCGCAGUUUAGAAAUAAGAACCUGAUGAAUCUGUUCAAAAAACUCUGCAAGCAGAACCAGUUAUGGAAGUACAAUUUGAUACGCGACAGACUUAAUGUGUGCACGCAGAGACACGUGAGGGACAGGAAAGCUGCAAGAGAUGCAGCGGUGAGGGCACAUGUUGAAGCAGUAGCUGCACAGUUGGCAACAGGAACAGCGGCCGUGGAGGAGGAGGCUGUUGGGCUAUGUGACCUGCCAGGCUUUGACCCACCUGGUACUAGGAGAAGGCUCGGGAGGUCGAUUAAAACCUUCGAGCAGUGGAUAGAGCAUGAGCCUCUGGAGAGGUGGUCUUUGCUACAUGACACACAUGGAGCAAGGUACGGUGCCAUGACAACGAACCUCGCGGAAACAUACAACUUUGUCCUCAGAGGAAACCGGGCAUUGCCACUUACAGCCAUUGUUGAGGGUAUUUUCUAUGGCACCAUCAAGUAUUUCAGAGACAGACGUCAAAUAGCAGAGCAGCACAUCUUGAACAACCCAAAUACAUGGUACUGUGAAAGAGUCACGAAGUACAUGGACAACAAGAUGCAAAAAGCUAGGUCACACACUGUAGUCGCCAUCGGUAAUCAAGAAAGAAGGUUUGAGGUCCGCUUAGCCAACAACAAAUUCGGAUGUGCAAAUGAGUUGAGGACGCAUGAGGUGAAAAUUGGCAAUGAAGCCUGGCCAACGUGUGAGUGCACAUGCAAUAAACCGAAAUUGCUUCACCUACCUUGCUCACAUGUACUUGCUGCUUGCGGGCAGCUUGGAAUGGACGCAAUAUCGUUUGUGCCUCCAUAUUUUCUGAAAGAGGCUGUCCUCAAUACCUGGACAGGUGAGCUGAUGGGUUUUCGAUCAAUGGGUAAUUUCAACAGCGUCAACCCCGCCGAAAGGCGUUACAUUCCAAACCCAGAGCAUAUGCGUACAAGUAGAGGCAGACGGCAGUGUCAGCGCAUCCGAAAUGAUAUGGAUGAAUCUGAAGCAGGAGGUCCGACUAGGCAAUGCAUUCUAUGCAAUGAAUUUGGCCAUAGGGACACUAAUUGUCCCACUUUCGUCACUGGGCGUGGACGAGGCAAUCGGGGAAGAAGAGGAGGUAGAGGCAGUAGAGGAGUAAGGGCGAGAGGAAGAAGCUAA
rnacentral:rRNA from 1 species